UGCUAGUUAGUAUAGUGGACAGUAUCUCUGCCUGUCACGUGGAAGAGCGGGGUUCAAUUCCUUGAUAGGGAG